AGCGUAGCGCAGCCCGGUAGCGCACUUGACUGGGGGUCAAGGGGUCGUGGGUUCGUUAUACGGAGUCAACGAAAGUGUUCAUCACUGAGCUUU
rnacentral:tRNA from 1 species